GCCACUCUAGUUUAAAUAAAACAUUUGCUUUGCACAUAAAAAAUGGGAGUUAUCUCCCGAGUAGCA
rnacentral:tRNA from 1 species